UCCCUCUUUCGUAAUUAGUCAUUCUACUUUAGGACAACCAUUUGCCAUAUAAGAUCCUCUCUCAUAUAACAUUUCUUUCCUUCCGGGAGUUCAAGACCAGCCUGACCAACACAGAGAAACCCCAUCUCUACUAAAAACACAAAGUUAGCUGGGCAUGGUGGUGCAUGAGAUCGCCCCAUUGCACUCCAGCCUGGGCAACAAGAGCAAAACUCCAUCUCAAAAAAAAAAAAAAAAGAAAGAAAACAAAGGAAAUGGUGGCAGAGAAAAUGAAGGCAAUACAGUUCACUUAAUAAUCUCAUAAAUUAGAACUUACCCCGUGACUCUUGCAUAGCUCCAAAUAUGUGAGAGAGAUGAAAUGGCUGUUUGCUACCAAUAUUUUAUGUGAUGCUUCAUUUUUUGAUUCUCUGAAUAACUACUUACAAUGCAUUACCCCAUUUAUGCCAGAGGCUGUAAUUUUUUGAAUUUUUGCCUGAGUGAAUAAUCAGACCUUGUCAAUGACCUUGAGCAGUAGGAUGUAAGUAACUCCCUCAUGCUUAGUGUUCCAAUAAUGGAACAUUAUUGG
rnacentral:lncRNA from 1 species